UGAAAACGUUAGUGAGAGCACAGGAGAAGAACAAGAACAAGAACAAGAAAAAAAAAGAAAGAAGGGAGAUGCUGUACCUACUGCUGUAUCUGCGGAAUUAAGGAACCUAAAACUUAUCAGGCGAGGAUACGUAAUUGAUUGCGGGGGAAUUUAUCGUACACUGUGAUUUAGCUUUUGAGAUGGUGGAACCGGUGCUUAGGCAGGAUUGGACUUCGGCAACGGUUGUGAGGCUUGUGUCUAUGAGACACCGGGUUGCUAAUGGAUUUCACUACCGUUCCAAUUAUUUCUUUUGAUGUAUUUACAAAUGAAAUAUGUAAGAUGUAAAUAUUACACCUGUGGGUUUUUUACAAAUGAAUCUUGUAUAUCUGUAAUUUAUCACUUUAGUACAUCACCAGUGGUAUUAUUAUAUGAUUUUAUUAGCAUACUCUG